GAGGAGAAAAAAUUGCAAUAAAUAAGGUAAAAGGUAAAAUUCAGUACAAUUCUUGGUAAUUGAAUUGGAUUAGUUUAGUGUGAGUGAGAGGAUGAUGAGUUAAAGUAUGCUCUGUCUCAAUCUCUUUUGUCUAAAACAAAUUAAGUAAAAAUUUUGCUUUGUUUAAGAGAUAAAGGAAAAUUAAAGUUAUAAAUAAAAGCAAAUCAAUAAUUUAAAAUUCUGAUAUGAACACAUUUGUUAGCACACUUUUUAACACACGUAGAGUUUGUUCUUUUCUGUUAUUUAAUUAUUUAAUUGGGGCGGGGGAGGAAGAAGAAAUGGCCAACCGUCGUCCACACGCAAUUGAAAAUGGUUUACGGUGAAAUAGUGGGGGUGAAAUAGUGGGCGCACGUUUUGAUGCGAAAUAUAUAAGCACACAAAUUAAACUCUCUUUUUAUCAAUUGUAGCAAAGUAUGUAAGUAGGGAUCGUUCUAGGCCGGAGAUUAGGAGGGAUUGC
rnacentral:lncRNA from 1 species